UAGGGAAUCUUCCACAAUGGACGCAAGUCUGAUGGAGCAACGCCGCGUGAGUGAAGAAGGCUUUCGGGUCGUAAAACUCUGUUAUUGAAGAAGAACGUGUGUGACAGUAACUGGUCAUGCAGUGACGGUAUUCAAUCAGAAAGUCACGGCUAACUACGUGCCAGCAGCCGCGGUAAUACGUAGGUGGCAAGCGUUGUCCGGAUUUAUUGGGCGUAAAGCGAGUGCAGGCGGUCUUUUAAGUCUGAUGUGAAAGCCUUCGGCUUAACCGAAGAAGGGCAUCGGAAACUGGGAGACUUGAGUGCAGAAGAGGAGAGUGGAACUCCAUGUGUAGCGGUGAAAUGCGUAGAUAUAUGGAAGAACACCAGUGGCGAAGGCGGCUCUCUGGUCUGUAACUGACGCUGAGGCUCGAAAGCGUGGGUAGCAAACAGGAUUAGAUACCCUGGUAGUCCACGCCGUAAAUGAUGAAUACUAAGUGUUGGAGGGUUUCCGCCCUUCAGUGCUGCAGCUAACGCAUUAAGUAUUCCGCCCGGGGAGUACGACCGCAAGGUUGAAAC
rnacentral:rRNA from 1 species